CUUGAAUGCAAUUUCACUUGCAAUUCAAGCCCAAAUCAGGCAAGGUUACACAAAGAAGGCCAUAGGGCUAAUUACAAAGGAACCCUAAACCCAUACAGCAAACCUUAGCCCCAUUCCCAAUCUCAAGACAAAACUUGUGAAGCGUCGUUCAUAGGAAAACGAUGAAUCAGAGAAGCAACUGGAGUCCAUGAAGAGGAGUCCUCAGAGGCAUGCAUGGUUGAAACAACCAAACAAAGCCAAGAAGAAAAACUAAAGAUUCAACAAAACAUAUCAUCUCCUCUUGAGGGAAAUACUGGGCUAUUUAAACCGUCGACUUAGGAAAGAAGAGGGAUAGAGGGCAUGGUAUCUCACUUUCCUCCAGCCAUAAAGCACUAGCAACAGCCUCUAAGCAAGAGGCUCUUAAUCCUCAAGUCGCCUCCCUUUGGCUCCGCUCCUAGAGUUGAAACCUACACUCAACCACAUGAAUCCCAUAAACCAGAGACAAAGAUCCCCAAAACCAAAUCCCUGUAACGGAAGCUCUGGAUCUACAACACCAAGAACAAAACCCCAAAACACAUAUCUACACCCAUCCCAGAGGGUGGUGGGGAGGGAAGUAGGCCCACACUCAUGGUGGGAGAAAAUAGAUUCCCCCAUCCAGAAGGGCAGGAGAGCCCACCAAAAAAGGGAACUUUAGCUUGCCCGAAGAA
rnacentral:misc_RNA from 1 species